ACCACUGUCCGAGCAGAUUUGUGUAAAGAAAAAAAACGCGACCACACGAGGAGCACGGGCUCGCCUCCUCUCCCUCAUCGCCGCCGCCGCCGCCACCACCAACGCCGGCCGCUUCCGGCGACCUCCGGCGCCGCGCAGCACGCCCCCGAGCUCCCCACAUUCCGCGCCUCCCUCCCCUCCGUCCAUAUUCUCCUCUCCCAUCCUCUACCGCCCGCUCACAACCCCACCCCCCGUGGCUAGGGUUUCGGGCAGGGCUUCGCCGGAGCCACGAGCGCGAUGACGGCGGCGGUGACUCGGAUCCACGAGCGUGACGGAGGCUGGGAAAGGACUGCAGCACUACUGCUCACGAUGACAGGAUGGUGUGUGCGCUGCCCCAAGGCGGAGCCCACCGAGUCGUGCAAUCACCCCUGCUGCUUCCUCCAGUUGUCCCUCCUGCAUAGCUACAUCUUGGUGUUAUUGGGACAUUUUUUUUUCAUGGUUGGAAACAAGAUGUUCCUGAUGUUGGAGCUCACAGAGAAGGGUAUUAUGAUAGUCUACUUACUUCUGAAGGUGCAUUAGAAGAUAGUGGAUGUCCAGAUUCUUUGGCUUCAGAAAGGUGGUGAUAAAAAUCCUGAAGUAUUGUCAGCAUUUUCGUCUUAAAAUAGAGGGAAAAUAAAGAAGGUACACAGUCGUGUUCAUUGUCAUGGAAAAUUAUUAUCCUUUUUGUUAUCCUGAGUAGUUGUUGUUGGAUGUUAUUUCUCUCUUUGAAAAACAUCUGAUGUAAAUUUGUUGUACUCCAACUCACAAACCCUACUACUAGACCCAAAACCUACUACUAAAUGGUUCCAAAAAAAUUGCAUGUUAUUGUAGAAGUCUUGAUCAACAUUCUCGUGUUACUGUGAUGUAGUAGACAAAAUUUUAUGCUUGGACAUUUUUAACUUUUCUUAUAGCAACUAUUGCUCUGAAAUUGUUGGUCUCUUACUUCUAUUGACGGCAGAAGAGAACACAUUUGGGUACACCCACCAGGAUAGUUUGUUCUACGUUUAUCUUACUUUGGAGUUGCAGACCCUAAGAUAUCAAGAUAGCUCAUUUACAUAGUAUAUUAAAUCUCUUGAUGGUAUAACAUGACAUUGGCAGGAAUUAUUGAUGACUACUUUGAUGGGUACUUUUCUGAAGAAAUGAUUGUCCCAGGUACUGUGAUGCUCGCAGUUCUAUCUUUCAAUGCUUGCAUAUGCCAUUGUGAUACAAGAGUACUACCAGAUUUUGCAAUGUUCGUGAUUCAGAUUGACCAUGAUUGAUACUGUUGUUUAAGAUCAUAAAAUUUGUCAUGGUUGAUUAAAUAGGCACAGUUGAUUUUAGUCGCAGACCCUAAGAUAUCAAGAAAGCACUGCUACAAAUUUAGAACUAGGAUGUAGUUUUUCAUAGUUCCUGUCAAGUAUGCUUAUUUGCAAUCUAGGAUCACAAUUGUAAAGGUUAAUCCUUUUAGUUGUGUAGCAUUGCAGAUCUCGGCUCUUGAAAAUCUUCCUACCAUACCAACACAUUAGGUAGGAUUUGCCUUAUUUUGUAAUGAGCAAACAAAAAUGUUGUUAAUAUAACAAAUAAUUAUGCGCAGUAGUACAUGGUUGGAAAUUCCUUUCUUGUUCAAUGCAUAUUAGACUGAAAUUUGUACUGUUUGGUCUGCAUUCACAAUCAACAUGGGGUGCUGAAGUAGUGUAAAUUGUUUGAAGUUGCUUAUUGGCCAGUAUAUAUAAGGUUGGAGUACUGUACUGUUUGGUCAGCCGUUUUGGUAUGUAUCGUUGAAUCGACACCCAUUAAGCUCUUUUUGGUUUCUAUUAUCUGUGAGCACAUAUGAACAUCGAUGAAAACUAUUCUGGGAUGAAACGUGAGCAUGCCUUGGUGUACAUAUGAAGGAACUGAUUUUUUCAGCAUCCGGGGGAAAUUUUCCUGUUUUGAUUUUACAAUUUUGAUUCUUUCCUUCAUCUGUUGAUGGUAAAAAUUAACACACGUAGUUGUAUACAUAUUUUGAAAAUCGGAAGCGGUUUUAACAUUUCACAUGAUAUUGUAGUUUACGGUACUAAGCUUGACGCUGCUCGGUGUGCUGUUGUUCUUCGUCGGCGUGGAACUAGCCGUCGCCGCUAUGGUACAUGUACCCGUUGCCUCCGCUUGACGUAGUUCGCGAUGGACAUAGACAUGGGAACAUCGCGACGGAGAUCCCCCACUCCAACCCACGACUCCGGGGUGACUGGCGGUCGGCCAGUGACCGAGCUCAAAAUCCGGUUCAGUGUCAAUGGUGGGUUGUGCUCCAGUGCGAGGGGUGGUGGCGCUUUGAGGAGGAAACAGGUGCGUGCCUUUGUCAGUUGGUUUUUGUACUUCUACUUUUCACUUUCAGAAUCAAUCGUGAUUCCAUGGUGAGUCAUUACCAACCAAGUUAUGGGGAGUUCUGCUCUAGGCAGCAGAUCAGGAAGGAACAAACCCCGUCUCUCUGGUGCUCCAGUAGUAGAUAUUGCUGAAAUAGCUAAAGGAUUUAGUUGUAACACUUGCUCUGAACUUUACUCAACAAGCAAGUUUUCCAAAUAUUGAAGUCGAAUUUUUUCAGGGUUCAUAUACAUAUACACAAAUAGUGGGAAAUUAAUGGCCCUUAGAUAUUGUUGUGCUCUUUUGAAAAGCGGGUCUGUAUACAACAUAUAGUGGAUAUGUGUGUGUGUGUGUAUAUAUAUAUGUAUGUAUGUAUUCUAGGAUCUAUGAUGCCCAGCAAGCGUGAACAAAUUUAACUUGCGAUUUUAUUAACGCAUUGCUAUGCUUUGAUACAAAGUUUAGGCGUAGUUCUACUUUAUUGAUAAAUUACCCUCCGGCAAGGUUCAUAUCUAAGACUUGGUUGGUCAAUUGUUGCACGCCUAACUAAAAUCUUUCCUUCAGGAUAUUUUUAGGUUUAAAAGACUUUUCAUCAUUAUUUGCAAAUCCAUGAGAUCUAGCAUAGCUAGCCAGCCCAUGAUCUACUUGGUUGCACUCUCGACGCAUCAGGGAUGUGCAGCACUACUGAAAACAAUUCAUCUGCUCCCUAAUAUCCACAUACCCGACAAACAGUCUUGAUCUGCAGGUCCCAGUGAAUUGCAGUGCCUCAAAAACUACGAGCUGUCGAUUUUCAAGAUUACCAGGCCAGUUACCAUUCAUGUGUAUGAGUGAGAGCACGAAACAGCCUCAGCUUCUGCUUCGUCGGUGGUGUCUGAGCAGUUCAGUUCCUAGCGAGAACAACAUAUGUCCUUUGUACUAGAAUGAUUAUUCCUGUUGCAACAUACUCCUCAGUACUUCCCAUUAUCUAUGGGUAUGUAAUCUUAAUGAAAAUCAUAUGUUUCUGAAUA